AAAAGUCUGAAUAUUGAUAAUACCAAGAAAAAUUUACUUACCUCUUCCCAAAUAGUAUGGGAAGAUAAAUGGCAAAUAAAAAUCAAAGUUUACAAUUUCUUAAUCCAUUAAGGGGUGAUCUAAGGCCAUAAAAUUGACUUAAUUUUAGGUCAAAAACCAAAUUCAUUCCCUCAAAACACUUUUAAUGGCACCUCUCUACUUAAAAAAGAUUUUCUGACUAUAGAGCAAAAUAUAGAAAGGAAAUGCAACAGAAAUUGGGAACACGAGUUAGAUGUUGAAAACAAGGAAUUAUUCUGCAGCAUAAUUCUGACAAGAAUGUUCACAGACAGGUAAAACGUAAUAUAAUACUCAUAUAAUAAAGCAUAUAGCCACAACUAAAAUAUUUAAUGUAAGAGUUACCCUCAUGUUUGAAAACAAAUAUUGACAACAUUAUCAAAUGAUUGCUAUAACUACACCUUCUAUCCUUUGUUUAGAGGGUCUACACUUUCUAUCCAAUUUAUAUACUUCAGAACACAUACCUACCAACUAACGAACUGUGGUGCAUUAUUGCUCAUGAGUAUCUUUAAAAGUGAAGUAGGUCUAAAUUUCAAUUAUGCUUGACAUUAUCAGACAACAGACAUAUGAAAUGAAACAACUUUGAAGGCCACAGGAGCCAACCAUGCUUCGACAAUGGUAAAUUGGGGGAGCAAAUGACCAUAAAGAAUUUAAAUUUAACAGCUAGAAUUCUACACUCAAAAGCUACUUGCAUUACUUUAACCUACUUUCCACCUCCUCACAUUAGGCUAGACACCUCUUUGAAACUGAAUAAAUAAUAGGAUAUUUGGAAACUCGUUUAAAAGUAUAAAAUGAAAACAAAGCCUUGAAAACUAUUUAAUGAUGUUUGCAACUAAUUAAACAAAAAGGUGCAACUAAUUAAACAAAAAGGAGCGCAAGUGGGAAAAAGAUUGGUGGCCAUACUUCAGAAAACAACUCAGUUCAAUCAACCACCCAUUCACUCAUAAAUGAAUAAAUUUUCUUGUAGUAUUCCCUCAGUAGUUAUAUUGAAACCAUUUCAAGUAUUUAUAAUGUUUUGAAGCACAAAAUUUACUGGUUAAAAAAUUUUAAAUAAAAAAUUAUCAGUACUGGAUUUGAGUCCCGUAAUUUGUUUGCUAACCAAAAGCAAAAAGCAUUUGUGUUGUUGACUAACC
rnacentral:lncRNA from 1 species